UAUGUUGUCGACUAAUAGGUAAGUCAUAAAUUUUUGGUAUUUACUAUUGGGUGUUCGAGUCGCCCCAACAUAA
rnacentral:tRNA from 1 species